rnacentral:lncRNA from 13 species
AACAUAUAAUUUCAUAUAUUUUAAAGCACUGUUGUAGGUUACUUUGAGACAUUUCAGAAAUCCUUUGAAGAAGAAAAAGUUUGAAUUAUAAACUUGGAUGAUUCCUCCUAAACAUCAGUGUUCCAGUUAUUGUGGGGUGUGUCUGGGUCCCUUCUGUAGCUCUCACAAAUAUUUUACAUUUAACAGGAGGAAGAUUUAAAAAUAACUGACAAAUCAGAUGAAUAGAAAUCAUCAACAAUGUGUCCUGAACAACCCCGGUUACCCAGGGUCAUGUUAACUACAGAGCUCUUCUGGUGCCUGAAGUCAUUGUAUGAGCACAGUUGUGCUGAUCUGGAUCCUGCCCCAAGGCCAUCCUUGGAUUAGAAGACCAGCUUCCUGGAUGUCAUGGCUAAUGGCCAGCACAGAUAUCUACAGCUCCAAGAUGAUCAUGUAUGAUGGGCUCUAAUGCUUUUAUGUUGAGAGAUGAACUCAUUGCUGGUCUGGGAACUUUACUUCCAAAAAGCCUGAGCUCAACUGUA